GAGAUUUUUUUGCUUUGAUUCUCACUGUAAAAAGAAAACCCUCGGCGGAAGAACAAUAGUAGAAGCGCGAUCAUCAUGUCGGCUAGCGGCGGCGGUAGUGGUGGCGCAGGAGAGGAAGAGAAGAAGCCUAACGAUCAGGCGGUUCAUAUCAAUCUGAAGGUUAAGGGUCAGGAUGGACAUGAAGUGUUUUUCAGGAUCAAGCGUAACACACAGUUGCGCAAGCUCAUGAAUGCUUACUGUGACCGUCAGUCAGUUGACAUGAACUCGAUUGCGUUCUUAUUUGAUGGCCGCAGGCUUAAGGGAGAGCAAACUCCUGAUGAGCUGGAGAUGGAGGAGGGUGAUGAAAUCGAUGCAAUGCUACAUCAAACUGGAGGCUAUGAUGCUGGAUGCUGCUAAUUGUUUACUUGGUGGUUAUAUGGUUAUAGGUUGGUUGUUAGGGUGAACGCUUUGGAGUGUUGGUUAUUACUCUCCCAUCUGCCUAAAUGGUGGUGUAUGAAUGCCUGUCGUAAUGAUAAAACAUUAACAUCUUGCAAAUGCUGAAACUAGGGCUAUCUAAGAGGAGGGUUCUGGAGACUUUACGGGAGGGAAAGAAUUCAAGGUUACGAAGUGCCUUUUAUUUUAUUUAAAUGUAAUAUAAAUAUUAUAUUUUUGACAUAA